AUACUUUUUUGUCUUGUAUGACAUUUUCAAUAAAGAGUACAAAAAAAAAAAAAAUCUGUUCUUAUCAGUUUAAUAUCUGAUACGUCCCCCAGCGGGGGACUACAUAUUAAGCCAAUUUUUAGAACAGGAAGUCGGCAAAGGGGCUUGCUCCAUCCGCUCCACGCAUCGACCCAGUAUUGCAGUGCCUCUGGGAGCGGUGCACUUUCU
ensembl:snRNA U2 U2 spliceosomal RNA